GAAAGGCCAAGGUCCGUAGGCUGAGCAUCCCGCUGGGAUGAGGGCGGCAGAUUGGGGUUGGGAUUCUCUGGACGGGUGCACAGUCCCCAGCUGGACUGCUGGGGUCAAGGGCUGCACUGAGCACACGUCAAAGUAGAGGCCUGGGCCCCGCAUAGGACUUGAAUUAGACGCUGUAUCUGAGAUGAGCUAGGCUGGGCUCAGUCUGUAGGCAUGACUGGGGGCUGAGGCCUUCCAGAAACUUCUAGAACUUGUUCGCCUCUCCCUAUCCCUACUUCUUCUCUACAUGCAUAGCCUGAGUUACUGCUGUCUCCUCCCGGACCUACCCUUUCCAGACCAUUCUCUCUACUGCCCAGAUAAUCUUUCUAAACCGUGGAGCUGAUCCCUCCACACUGCUGCUUAAAUUCCUGCAUAAUCUCUCUGUUGUCUUCUGGAAGAAAUCCAAACCACCCCACCCAGCUAGCAGAGCCACACCUCUCCUGGCCUGUCCAGCUCCAUCUCUCAGCACCCUCUUGCAUGUGCCUGCUGAUACCUCGUACCAGGGAUACCUCGUACCAGGGAUACCUCGUGCCUGUCAUACCUCUGUGAGCAGCAGCCCAGGCCUCACCUCCUGACCACCCCAGCCUUCUCCCAGCAAGAUGACUUAUUUUGGAAAAAGUCACCUGCCAUGUCAUGAGAACAUUCAAGCAGCCCUGUGGAGAAAUCCAUGUGGUGAGGAACAGAGGCCUCUUGCCAACAGGCAGAAGAACCCGGCAGGCCUGUCUCAGAUUCAGAGCCUCCAGCCCCAGUCGAGCAUUCAGAUAACUGCAGCCUUGGCUGACAUCUUGACUACAAGCUCAUGCCAGAUCCUGAGCUGGAACUACUCUGCUAAGUUGUUUACAAAUGCCUGACCCACAGAGAGACUGUGAGACCAAAGAAGUAUAUUGUUUUUAGACGUUUUGGAGUAAUUUAUUAUGCUGCAAUGGAUAAUUAAUACGGAAUUUGGUGGUUUUAUGAUUCUCAACUCCUGGCCAAAGCAAAGCACAUAGCAAAUCUCAAAGAAAGGUCUCACAACUGGAUUGAAAGUACAAAGCUGGCCAGGCAAGCCUGUGCAGACAUGUAUGUGGUGGAGUUGAAAACCACACACUACAACUCAAACGAGAUGAGAAACCCAAGGCUCUAAGAGACCCUGUCCUGUAAUUUGCUCAAGAAUAAGAAGCUGCUACAUCUGAAAUCUUAUCCUUCUAACCCCUCUAUCUGGGAUCUUUGCACAGGCAUGGCACCUCUCUUGAGUACCUAAGUUAAAAAUUCUUGCUCUGUCACUUAGGAACUCCACCUUGGGCAAGUUCUCAAAGUCUCUGUGCCUUACUUUAAAAAAUAUGCUUCUUGCCAGGCGUGGUGAUCACACCUGCAAUCCCGGCACUUUUGGGAAGCUGAGGUGGGCAGAUCAUCCUGGCCAACAUGGUGAAACCCCAUCUCUACUAAAAAUACAAAAAUUAGCUGGGCAUGGUGGUGCGUGCCUGUAAUCCCAGCUACUUGAGAGGCUGAGGCAGGAGAAUCACUUGAACCCAGGAGGCGGAGGUUGCAGUGGGCUGAGACUGUGCCACUGCACUCCAGCCUGGGCAACAGAGCAAGGCUCCAUCUCAAAAAAAAAAAAAAAAGCUUUCUUUAAUAAAUGCACUUCAUUGAGGGAUAAUUUACAUACAAUAAAUGCACAGAUUUUAAGUUCACAGCUUGAUGAAUGUUGACAAAUGUACACCCCCAUGUAAUAACCACAUAGUCAAGACAUGGAACAUUGUUCUCACCCCAGAAAGCCCUUCCUUCUGUGCAAACAAAAGGAAGCAAACGAAACUGUCUGCCUCAGAGUGUUAGGAAAAUCAAAUGCGAUAACACAGGUGAGAGAGAUCCUUAGAGAGGCACCUGGCAUGCAGGAAGCGCUGGUUAGAAUGCAUUGCUAUCAUUCACUGGCCGGGGCAGGGAUCAGUGCUGGACCACCUCCUUACCCCAGCCUAAGGGCAUUCAGCCCAACCAGGAGAAGACUUGGGGGGCUGGAAUAUGUGUCUUGAAGGAGACUUGGAACCAUUUCUGUAUGUCUCCAGAAGCCCUGAUACAGCUGGGGAUGGAGGAAUUGGCCGCUUUUGUCUAUGUUUGGCUCAAAGACAGGGUUUUGCAAACACUGCUCACUGAAACCUCAAACUCCUGGGCUCAAGCAGUCCUGCCUCAGCCUCCUGAGUAGCUGGGACUAUAGGUAUAUACCACCAUGCCAGGCUAAUUUUUAAAUUUUUUGUAGAGAUGGAGGAGUCUUGCUAUGCUUCCCAGGGUGGUCUCAAACUCCUGGCCUCAAGUGAUCCUCCCGCCUUGGCCUCCCAAAGUGAGCCUGGACAUCCUCUGUUCUUUCUGGACUCGAAGGACGAAGGCACUUCUGGCAGGGAUAGCUUCACAGGUUGGCCAAGGCAGCUGCACAGGGCCUUGCUGUCAGAAAGUCUCCACACAUGUCAUGUGAAAUCCUUAAUAAUUUUUGAACACGGGAUCUUGCAUUUUCAUUUUGCUCUGGGCCCCACAAAUUACAUAGCCGGUGGUGGUGGUGGGGAGGGUGGAGCAAGCUGGCUAGUUUCCUCCCUGGAAAAGCUAUGGCCCUUCCCACUUCCACCCACUGACAACACACAGCCACACAUGCUCAUUCACCUCCAUGGUCCCCUCUCUGCCCUCUCCACAGUGGGGCAUCUAGGAGAAUCUGGGUCACUCAGGGCCCUCCAAUGUCAGCAGACACCAAUGGAACCUGGAAGCCCACUUGGCCUGGAAACCCCCUUGGGGACAGCUCCUGCUUACACAGAGCCUGCUGGCCAGGCCGCCCAAAUUCCCAUCCUCUGACAGUCCUCUCCA